rnacentral:rRNA from 1 species
AUUGAACGCUGGCGGCAGGCCUAACACAUGCAAGUCGAACGAGUGGCGGACGGGUGAGUAAUGUCUGGGAAACUGCCUGAUGGAGGGGGAUAACUACUGGAAACGGUAGCUAAUACCGCAUACCAUCAGAUGUGCCCAGAUGGGAUUAGCUUGGUGGUGGGGUAACGGCUCACCAAGGCGACGAUCCCUAGCUGGUCUGAGAGGAUGACCAGCCCAACUGGAACUGAGACCGGGUCCAGACUCCUACGUGAGACAGCAGUGGGGAAUAUUGCACAAUGGGCGAGAGCCGGCUGCAGCCAUGCCGCGUGGAAGAAGAAGGCCUUCGGGUAGUAAAGGACUUUCAGCGUGGAGGAGUUACCCGCAGAAGAAGCACCGGAUAAUUCCGUGCCGGCAGCCGCGGUAAUUC